rnacentral:rRNA from 1 species
GAACAAGUGCCGUUCCCCUUAGUGCUGCAGCUAACGCAUUAAGCACUCCGCCUGGGGAGUACGGUCGCAAGACUGAAACUCAAAGGAAUUGACGGGGGCCCGCACAAGCGGUGGAGCAUGUGGUUUAAUUUGAAGCAACGCGAAGAACCUUACCAGGUCUUGACAUCCUUUGACAAUCCUAGAGAUAGGACGUCCCCUUCGGGGGCAGAGUGACAGGUGGUGCAUGGUUGUCGUCAGCUCGUGUCGUGAGAUGUUGGGUUAAGUCCCGCAACGAGCGCAACCCUUGAUUUUAGUUGCCAGCAUUCAGUUGGGCACUCUAAGGUGACUGCCGGUGACAAACCGGAGGAAGGUGGGGAUGACGUCAAAUCAUCAUGCCCCUUAUGACCUGGGCUACACACGUGCUACAAUGGACAGAACAAAGGGCAGCGAAACCGCGAGGUUAAGCCAAUCCCACAAAUCUGUUCUCAGUUCGGAUCGCAGUCUGCAACUCGACUGCGUGAAGCUGGAAUCGCUAGUAAUCGCGGAUCAGCAUGCCGCGGUGAAUACGUUCCCGGGCCUUGUACACACCGCCCGUCACACCACGAGAGUUUGUAACACCCGAAGUCGGUGAGGUAACC